rnacentral:rRNA from 1 species
AUUGAACGCUGGCGGCAGGCCUAACACAUGCAAGUCGAACGAGUGGCGGACGGGUGAGUAAUGUCUGAGAAACUGCCUGAUGGAGGGGGAUAACUACUGGAAACGGUAGCUAAUACCGCAUACCAUCAGAUGUGCCCAGAUGGGAUGAGCUGGUUGGUGGGGUAACGGCGCACCAAGGCGACGAUCCCUAGCUGGUCUGAGAGGAUGACCAUCCAAACGGGAACUGAGACACGGUCCAGACGCCUACGGGAGGAAGCAGUGGGGAAGAUGGCACAAUGGACGAAAGCCUGAUGCAGACAUGCCGCGUGUAUGAAGAAGGCCUUCGGAUUGGAAAGCACUGUCAGCGGGGAGGCGUUAUCCGAAGAAGAAGCACCGGCUAACUCCGUGCCAGCAGCCGCGGUAAUAC